GCUCCGAUAGCUCAGAGGUAGAGCGCCUCCUUGGUAAGGAGGAGGUCCCGGGUUCAAAUCCCGGUCGGAGCU
rnacentral:tRNA from 2 species